rnacentral:rRNA from 1 species
UACCAGUUGUUCCGCCAGGAGCACCGCUGGGUAGCUAUGUACGGAAGGGAUAAGCGCUGAAAGCAUCUAAGCGUGAAGCCCCCCUCAAGAUGAGAUUUCCCAGUAUGUAAGACCCCUUGAAGACGACGAGGUAGAUAGGUUGGGGGUGGAAGUGCAGUAAUGCAUGGAGCUGACCAAUACUAAUCGGUCGAGGGCUUAUCCUAAA